CUCACCCUGAGAGGCUUAUUUGGGCUCAUGAUGCUAGAGCCUGUGACGUCUAAGAGCCUGGAUUAAGCAACUGCUAGGCUUCUGGUGAGGAACUUGGGUUGGGAGGCAGAAGAGCAAGUGGGAGCUUGCCAAAGGGACAGAAUUCACUGGGUAGUUUCCCUUUAUAAUAAUGCUCUCGUGGCAAGUAAUUUUGGAAAGUGUGAAUUCGUGUAUAUCCGUGAAAACUCACCCAAAUCUGUGGGAGCCAUGUUCAUUCCAAUACAGUCUCAGCUCCCAGCACCAACUCAAUGGCAACCACAGACAGGUGCUGAGCUAAGGAGUUCACCUUCACAGGGGAAAGAAUUGGAAAAACACAGGGCUAAGAAUCAUAAAAACCAAAUUGUAGUCUUGGCUCUACCAUCCAUGCAUUGUAGAAACUAAACAUUCUGCUAAGAAGUCUGGGAAGCAGCUAGCC